rnacentral:misc_RNA from 1 species
GAUGAAGAACGUAGCGAAAUGCGAUAAGUAAUGUGAAUUGCAGAAUUCAGUGAAUCAUCGAAUCUUUGAACGCACAUUGCGCCCGCCAGUAUUCUGGCGGGCAUGCCUGUUCGAGCGUCAUUUCAACCCUCAGGCCCCCAGUGCCUGGUGUUGGGGAUCGGCCCAGCCUUCCUGUAAGGCCGCCGGCCCCGAAAUCUAGUGGCGGUCUCGCUGUAGUCCUCCUCUGCGUAGUAGCACAACCUCGCAGUUGGAACGCGGCGGUGGCCAUGCCGUUAAACACCCCACUUCUGAAAGUUGACCUCGGAUCAGGUAGGAAUACCCGCUGAACUUAAGCAUAUCAAAAGCGGAGGA